GACGAACGCUGGCGGCGUGCUUUACACAUGCAAGUCGAGCGAUGAGAUCCCUUCGGGGAAGGAUUAGCGGCGAACGGGUGAGGAACACGCGAGGAAUCUGCCUUCAACACUGGGAUAACUCCGGGAAACCGGGGCUAAUACCGGAUACGAGACCUGCAGGCAUCUGCGGGUCUGGAAAGUUUUUCGGUUGAAGAUGACCUCGCGGCCUAUCAGCUUGUUGGUGAGGUAAUGGCUCACCAAGGCGACGACGGGUAGCCGGCCUGAGAGGGCGACCGGCCACACUGGGACUGAGACACGGCCCAGACUCCUACGGGAGGCAGCAGUGGGGAAUAUUGGGCAAUGGAGGGAACUCUGACCCAGCGACGCCGCGUGCGGGAUGAAGGCCUUCGGGUUGUAAACCGCUUUCAGCAAGGAAGAAGCGAAAGUGACGGUACUUGCAGAAGAAGCACCGGCUAACUAUGUG
rnacentral:rRNA from 1 species